UACGUAGGGGGCUAGCGUUGUCCGGAAUCAUUGGGCGUAAAGAGCGUGUAGGCGGUCCGAUAAGUCCGCUCUGAAAGCCCGGGGCUCAACCCCGGGAGGCGGGCGGAUACUGUCGGGCUAGAGUCCGGAAGAGGCAAGUGGAAUUCCUGGUGUAGCGGUGAAAUGCGCAGAUAUCAGGAGGAACACCGAUGGCGAAGGCAGCUUGCUGGGACGGUACUGACGCUGAGACGCGAAAGCGUGGGGAGCAAACAGG
rnacentral:rRNA from 1 species